GGGGAGGUGGCCGAGUGGUCUAAGGCGCUGGCCUGGAGUGCCAGUGUGGGUGUUUCGCCCACCGUGGGUUCGAAUCCCACCCUCUCCGCCG
rnacentral:tRNA from 1 species